CGGAAAGGGAAAGGCUUAGUGGCGGACGGGUGAGUAACGCGUGGGUAACCUGGCCCAUACAGGGGGAUAACACUUAGAAAUAGGUGCUAAUACCGCAUAACAACAGAAAGCGCAUGCUUUUUGUUUGAAAACCAAGGUGGUAUGGGAUGGACCCGCGUCUGAUUAGCUGGUUGGCGGGGUAAAGGCCCACCAAGGCGACGAUCAGUAGCCGGCCUGAGAGGGUGGACGGCCACAUUGGGACUGAGACACGGCCCAAACUCCUACGGGAGGCAGCAG
rnacentral:rRNA from 1 species